ensembl:snRNA LOC120097207 U7 small nuclear RNA
AGCUAUUACAGCUCCUUUGGAAUUUGUCUAGGUUUUCUGACUUUGGUCGGAAAACCCAU